rnacentral:rRNA from 1 species
ACGGAAGGCAGCAGUGAGGAAUAUUGGUCAAUGGGCGAGAGCCUGAACCAGCCAAGUAGCGUGAAGGAUGACUGCCCUACGGGUUGUAAACUUCUUUUAUACGGGAAUAAAAAAGGCCACGCGUGGCCUCUUGCAUGUACCGUAUGAAUAAGCAUCGGCUAAUUCCGUGCCAGCAGCCGCGGUAAUACGGAAGAUGCGAGCGUUAUCCGGAUUUAUUGGGUUUAAAGGGAGCGUAGGCCGUGCUUUAAGCGUGUUGUGAAAUGUAGGCGCCCAACGUCUGCACUGCAGCGCGAACUGGAGCACUUGAGUACGCAGGAAGUAGGCGGAAUUCGUCGUGUAGCGGUGAAAUGCUUAGAUAUGACGAAGAACUCCGAUUGGGAAGCCAGCUUACUGUAGCGCCACUGACGCUGAUGCUCGAAAGCGUGGGUAUCGAACAGGAUUAGAUACCCUGGUA